AGAGGGAGCUCGUGAAGCGGGCUGAGAGGAAGUCAUCAACUUCGACCUGUAGAACCUGAUUUGGGUAAUUCCAACGUAGGGAGAGAAUGC
rnacentral:ncRNA from 1 species